rnacentral:rRNA from 1 species
UAGGGAAUCUUCCACAAUGGGCGCAAGCCUGAUGGAGCAACACCGCGUGAGUGAAGAAUGGUUUCGGCUCGUAAAGCUCUGUUGUUGGAGAAGAACGUGCGUGAGAGUAACUGUUCACGCAGUGACGGUAUCCAACCAGAAAGUCACGGCUAACUACGUGCC